CCUGUGAGAAUUAAUUCCAGAAACUUGGAUCAACCCAUUGAAAGGAAUGUUUUUGCCUCUGCAUAGACAAGUGAUACCUUCUGGGUAGAAUGCUUUUGCUGUGCCUGAGGAGGAGAUUUUGCAUCCCAGGUUCCCACCCUGGUGCCAAAGAGAUUCUUUGAAAGCCUGUCCACGCUGCCAGCUGCAGACAGACUCACUCCUCCUGCGUUAACCCCAGAACCAGAAGGGCGGUUCUGGAUAAACUGCCAAAUCAGGGCUGGAAGCAGAAUAGUCACGUUCACACACAAAGGGCAGGGUAUAUUAGCUUGGGCACAACGCCAAGUACAUGCAGCUAUACUGCUUCCAGAUGCAAACUGAGUGCUCUUGGGUGCUGCAAGGGACAGAGAGAAGUUCAUCUACAAGACUUUUGCCAUUUCCUGUGGAAGAAGAACCAUGCCAACAGCUCUGAUGUUUCUUAUUUGGCAUGAACUUGGUGUGGCUAUGGCCUUGCCAAGAAAAUUUUAUGAUGUUCAUGGAUGAACGCUUUCUGAAGUGCCAUUCUGGAUCCAGGAGCAGGAGUGUGUGCUGCAGCCAUACCUCCUGAUACACUAGCACAGUCAAAGAGCUGUGCUCUUCCUUCUCCCAUGUGCAUGGUCCCAGGGCUGCUUUAAAGAUCUCUGCCCUCAAUAGUUAGCAGUGUUUCCAGGAGUUACACCUGUUAUCUUGUACAUUCAUUAUGGCAGAGCAAUAACCUCUUCUGACCCUGACUUCUAUUUCUAUUCCAACUCUCAGACCAUAGUAGUUAUUAUUCAUAAAGGGAACAUAAUUAUUUUGAUUUACAACUUUGUAAUAUGAGCAAAGAUGUAUGUAAAAGGAAGGCAAGGAAGAAGGUUGAUCACUGUCUGCAAAGAAGCAAGAAAAGGCAGAAAGGGAUGAUCUGAACCUAGGUCACUUUUAAAGCCUAAACAAAGAGGAGAAACAAUGCAAGAGAAAAUUAUGAGGAGUCUUCUUUCAGGGGAAAUCUAUUCAAUUUCUAUCUUACUUGCUCCAUUUCACAGUAUUACUGAGGAAAGUUAUUUUUUCUUAUGUCAAGGCCUUACAUAAAAAACAAAGACGUGAAAAGGAAAAAAAUAUAACUGGGAAAAAGAAAGAGAGAGAGAGAACAUUCUAAGUAUUAGAGCUGUUCUCAAGUUUCGAAAAGUUGUAGUUCUGAAGGUUGUUGGUUUUUUUUGCCACAAUUUCAGAGGAACUUGGCAUACUUUUAUUAUUAUCAUUUUUAUAAUAAAAACCAUUGUGAAAUGUGAAAUAUAUUGUCU
rnacentral:lncRNA from 1 species